ACCAGAGAUAUCGGAGCGGGAAAGCCCCGCAGAAAAAGAAUGGCCGACGACAAGGAGGUACGUACAAAGGUACGGUACUUUUAGCUAUGCAUAUAGAAAACUAUGGUUUAACAUAACUAUCAUUUGAUAUGCUUGACGGGCAUUUCAGAUAUUGACAUUGCAUUAUUUACAAGCCACGGUAUAAGAAGAAAGUGACACAGCUGUCUGCCCACAAUAAUAAAGAGUUACAAAAUGCUACCAGGCGUGUUGUUGCCUUGGCUGAACCAACUUCUCAACAUCGUAAGUGAAACUAGGGGGAGAUCACUUGUCUUCACAGAUUCAUCUAAUGGUCAGUCGUUUACAGAAGAUGACAGCUGCAGUCUUGGCCGGCCGAAGCACGCCGAGGUGUUUCAGUGACAGUUUGACCGACCUAUAUUAAAACCAGAGUGAAAAACUGAACUAAAGGUUCAUCUUCUUCUUGUUCUUCUUCUAUUUAUUUCCAGGGCUUGUGACUAUCUGGGUAAUGUUUAAUUAAUGAAGCCUUUAUAUAUUCUAACUACUUUACGUAUUUAGUACUCAGUUUAUUUAGACAUCUUUAAAUUGUGUUCACAGAUGAAGUACAGGUUCAGGGAGAGCAGGUGGAGGUGGGCAACAGACAGCCUACUAUACAGGGACAGCAGCAGUCUGCUCUUGGCAACAGGCAGCAGGCUGGGACAAGGCAGCGUCAGGCAGUCCAGGGGCAGCAGCAACAAAGGACCCCUGGCUUUCCUUCUACAGCAGGAAAUACAGUGGAUCAAAAUAUGGCCCGGUUUGGAUCCGUUAGGAAAUAAAGAUAGUUCUGAACUGAAUUGUCAUUGUAAUAACUGGGCAAUUGACUAUAAUUCAGGGUAUUUUUUAAUAGAAAUGAACGCUCUUCAGAUUGUUUAGAAUGAAUAUAUUGUAUAACAGCUUCUUAAAUGCCUCUCUUACACAUUGUUUUCAACUCCUCAGGGCUUUCCCCGGCCUAUUCAAAUCCGGUAAAAGCUAUAUCUCCCAAAAGAAGGGCUCUUAGGUCAACCCCAAUCCAGUUCUUUCUGCUCAAUACGUGCACAGAAAGAACACCAUCGGAUGAAAUGGUCCUUCUCCAGGCUGGACUUGGCAGGAGGACUCUCAAUAUCCCCGAAAAUGCUGACCACUCCCAGAUAUCAUAUAUACUUAUGCAAUCAUAUUCCAAAAUGGUACCAUUGGAAGCGGCCUGGAUGCU